rnacentral:rRNA from 1 species
UACGUAGGGGGCAAGCGUUGUCCGGAUUUAUUGGGCGUAAAGAGCGUGUAGGCGGUCUGGUAGGUCCGUUGUGAAAACUCGAGGCUCAACCUCGAGACGCCGAUGGAAACCCUCAGACUAGAGUCCGGAAGAGGAGAGUGGAAUUCCUGGUGUAGCGGUGAAAUGCGCAGAUAUCAGGAGGAACACCAGUGGCGAAGGCGGCUCACUGGCCCGUAACUGACGCUGAGGCACGAAAGCGUGGGGAGCAAACAGG